ensembl:lncRNA
UGUUCUUUGAAUAGUUGUAGUCCUUCUGUUGAUGUAGUUGAACUGGAAUGGGGUGAGGAGAUGAUCCCCAGGCACAGCCUGUUUUUAAGUGCUUUAUUCCCAGCAACUCAUGUUAUUUAAAAAUACUUUCCGCAUAGUUUGUUUUUAUUCGGUGUUGUUUAUAAAGAAAUACACACCCAUCUCCAGCUAGUGUCCUGACCUCAUGGGAGUCAGAAGGUCUCUCUGAUCUGAUACAUCAUAGAAUCCAAAACAUCAUAGAAGGGAUUAGUUUGGAAGGGACCUCGCAGCCCACCCAGUCCCAACCCCCUGCCAUGGGCAGGGCUGCCACCCACCAAAUCAGGCUGCCCAGGGCCCCGUCCAACCCAGCCUUGAAUGCCUCCCAGUGUAAGUUUAAUUGUUUUGCGGUGCUAGCUAAAGGCCACAAUGAAGAACUAAGACCCUACCGUGCUAAAUAAGGCACAUAGGCCCAGUACUCAGGGCUGAUCUCCUUUGGCCUACAGGGAUCGGACACCCAAUGACCUUCCUGCAUGUUUGCAGGUGAAAGGCAAAGUAGGAACUCUUCUUAGAGCCGUAACUUCAGACUCAGGAAAUACACAGAAUCAUGAAAACUCACGUGGAGGGCAUGAUAACUCAGAUUAUCUGAGGGCCCCCACCUUGUCAGGAUUCAAUAUAUAUGCCACAUAAUUCAUGAAGGCUUGUACUGGCUGAACUAAGCCUCCUAAUAAGUGAACAUGAAGCUACUAUUUCUCCCUCCCUCGAGCAUUUUGCCUAAUAACCCUCAAUGCUUCAAGUGAAAUCCCUGCGCCUUCCCCUUCCGUGACUUAGUUGGGCAGGAGGCCGAUCCAGUUUCCUGAGACAAUGUUGAUCUGGAAUUAUCUCAUAGCUUUUUUUUCUUUUUUUUUAAUCUACUCCAGCUUUUCCAAAUAAAUUUGGCAUAUACAACAUUUUAGCUAAGCUUUUGACUCACAACAAAGGAAGGAAAGAUUUUCAAUACGUGGAAGCACCAUUGUUUUGCAUGUAACUUUGGAUUUAUAGCUGCUUUGAAAUGUUCAUAUACUAAAACAUGGUGUACGGUUCUUUUUAAUGUAACGUGAGCUGUCAUUUGUAUAUACACACACAUAUGAUGGAUGCCUGAGCCUUGAAUAGAUGUUCCGGAUCUCCGCAAACCCUUCAUCUGAAAAUUACAACUUCUGAGCUGGCUUAAUAGAUAAUGUAGGGUUGUUGUCCUUCAUUUUAGACUGUUCUUGGAGACAGAAAGCUGCACAGUUAGCCCCAUUUCACCUUCAGACAGCAGGUGAAUUCCUAAGGAAUUAGCCAGAUCACUUCCACCCACUGCAGGGACUACCUGUGCUCUGAAAAACUACAUUCAAUCCCAGAGAGGCUGU